UCACCAAAAAUUGCAAUGCCAAAACUGCCCAUGUCAGAAACAAAAGUUAAUUAAAUAAAAUUUAUCUAGAAGGGUUAGCAUUGUAAAAUACAAAAAAGAAAACAAAAAAAUAUAAAUAGAAAAAAUAGGAACGUGGGACUCCAAACUAAUACGCCGUAGAAUACAAUUUGGGUAGAAAACGCACGAUCUCUACAGGAACGAAAAACUGCCAUGGCGCACGACCUAAAAAGGAACGAUAUUAUGACGACGUGGGAGAUAUCCGUUAGUACAACAGGGAAGCGCAAGCCAGAGGCAAGAAGAACGAAAUCAAACGACAAAAGAUAAAAAAGAAAAAUAUCGAUUAGAAUCAGUAGUUUGCUGAUUUUCCCUGAUAGGUGAACCUAGCAGGAGUCUAUUGAGAAGUUUAUGAUCGUCGGAUAGUUUUGGUUUCAUAAAUAAGGAACAAGAAGAAGAAUAGAACCACAGAAGCAGUCACAUGUGUUUCAAUCGAUCUCUCUCCCCAUGCAUUCAAAAAUUUCAAAUUUAACCAAAACGAGGCUGUAAUUUCAGGAUGGUUUUUCAUUUCGUAUUGUCCCGCUUGCAUGAGUGGAGUUAAGGAAAUACUGACAACUUGAGAUAGGGACACAAUUCUUUAAACCAAAUAUCUCCUCAUGCAAUUUUGGAGACUGAAUCCUUCAUGAAGUAAGUUUAUUCUCUUUGUUACUCCCAUUAGGUGUGGCAAAGUCAAAGACCUAAUUUCACCUUCAAAUGAAUAUCGGCACCUAGGGGGAUUAUCAUCUAGACCUUAGAUAGGAAAACUAACAUAUGUUACUCGGUUCGUAUCACCUUCAAAUGAAUUUUGUUUUGUAUCUCCUCCAGUUUGAUUCAUUUGCUGUGAUCAAACAACAAUAAUUUUACUUACUUGGAUCACCUGGAAUUUCUGAAUGUGGGAUUUUUGGGUUUAAAUAGUUUGGAGUAUCUCCACUUCUCCUGUAAUUGUUUGUUCUCCAGGUUUAAAUCGCAUCGGUAUCAAAUUUGAAUCUCUUUGAAUCUGUGCUUUUAGUUUUCACUUCACCUAUAAAAUUUCAAAUCUGUUUUGU